UCCUUCCGUUAUUUUGAAAAAAUAAAAUUAAAGUUCAAUAAUGAAAUGAAGUUAUUUAACUGUUACGAGUAUAAAUAAGGUUGAUGUAAUUACAAAUGGGCGUUUUGUUCAGGUCUUGUGCUUCGAUGGCGAUGACUUUUUUCAUAAAAUCAUCCUAACAAACUUCUGCUUUGACUAAUCUCCCAAGCAAAGAUUGCAUGGAAGGGUAUUUCUGGAAAAUGUGGAUGCUGAAAAUCAAGCUCUUUUGAUUCUGACAUCAUGCUUUUUGAAAAGUUCUCAUUUUGAAGAGUUCUUAUGUGUAAAGGUAAUACAACAUGUUCUUAGGCAACUUAUAAAUUUAUACUCAUAAUAAAUUCGUAUGAAGAACAUUAGUAUCUACCAAAAAAAAAUUUAAAAAAGAACUAAAAGUGUCAUGGCCAAUGACAAAAUGGUCAUUUUGCAUGUGAAAUAGCUUAAAAAGUUAUACUUUUCAAGACAAGUAAAAAAGAAAAAGUUAUAAUUUAGAAAAUAGAUUGAUAGUAAAAUUAAGAGAUAUUUGCAUUAUUGGUUGCUGUGGUUUAGUGUUUUUUCCCAGUUUUGGUCCAAGGGCACGAUAAAUAAUAAUGGUCCUUUUUAAAAAAUUAAAAGCUGAGUAGUUAAAUUCAAGAGUAAAUUACAUUUUCGGUUCCGAAUAUUGCUGAAUUUUUCAGUAUUAGCCCCAAAAAGUUGUCUUUUGUGUAUUUGGCUUUUAUUUGAGAAACAAAUGAAAAGAUCCAAAAGGGUUCCCAAUAGAAAGCCAACAGAUAUAAUAAAACAUUAUAUUAUUUUAGAGAUUUUACGUAUGUUGUUUGUGGCCCCGGUGCUAUAGGAGUCUUAAAGAAAGAAUUUGGCAACAAUGGAAAGGUACAUAUAUACACAUGUUUACACAUUUUACUUUUUUCUAACUUAGGAUUAGAUGAUCUAAUCCUUUCUUUUUAUUAUUCGUGUUUAUAUAAAUAAAUUUAGAUGCUUGAGCAUCAUACCUGACCAAACCACUAUAUAUUCACAAUUGAUGAAGCUACUAACAGAAAUGUUGAUCUCAUAACUGGAUUCUUGAACGACGAGAACAUAAAGAUAAAGUAUUUUGUACUAAUUUUAAGGGUAAUCCUGAUUAUAAAGGUGUAUGCCCUAUUACUCCCCCACAAGAAGGCCAUUGCAGACCUUGAGAUUUGUGAUAGAUGGUGAAAUGUUAGUUUAUCUGCUUGCAAGGGAUUUGAUCCUAUACACUAUUUUCAUGGUUGACUAACCUUAUUGUAAAUAAUUGGUGAAAUAUGUGUAUCUGGUGCAAAAUAUAAAUUAUAUCUGGUGCAAAAUAUAAAACAGAGGAGUUUUUUGGCAUCACUGUGGAAAGUGGAAAGGUGUAACUUGCCAAAAACCCAAAAAAAAAAUUCCUUCGGACCCAUGCCAAGCAUGGUCCCAAUCCUAGCUUCCAAAGCAAGCGAACUAAAUUAACCAAUUGUAGGUAUGAUUUUCUUACAUUGUUUUCUGAGUAUUUGACAUAGUUUAAGAACGUUUGUCUGUUUUAUUUGGAAGUUGGUUUUGUUGCUCAAAGUUACAGGUUCUGGAUCGAAACUGAUUAUAAAAUUGAACCCUAUGACAUGCAUGCCCACAACGCGUUCGCUAAAAUGC